rnacentral:lncRNA from 1 species
CGGAGCAUGAGGGUCGGCCUAGCUCUGGUCUGUACAGGAGAGGGCGCCAUCUGCCGCGGAUAGCGAGGCGCCUGCGCGCUGCUGGGCCCCAGUGUGGCGCUCGCCCUCGGGCUUCCUGAGUGUCUGCUGCUGCGUGGGAAUGCGUGAGGCCCCGGCCCAGGCUGCGGGGGCUGACGGUGCUCCAGGGCUGGGGCUCGGUCCUCCCCAGCUCCGCCUGCUCGUUCCCCGGGUUUCCAAAAAAAAUCAACUUCACAAGUAAAUGAUAGCAAAGGCAUGGACAGGUUCCAAGGAAGGACCUAAUAAUACACAAGUAACUGCAAAGCACGAAAUUUCUGAAGAAGUAGGAUCACUGGUGGCAAUAUUCAGACAACCAAAGGAUGAUCCCCAAGUACUUAAGUUUGGAGAAACCUGUAAACAUGAGCACAGAUUAGGAAGGCAGAAAGAAAACUUUGAGAAACAAACUCUGAGGAACUCUCAUCCUCAGGAGAGAUGUUUUGAGCAGGUGAUCUUCACUCAAGAAAAUCCAAAUUGGAAAGCAAGCCCAGGAGUAUAAUAAAUGGGAAAGAAAUUUCAGUCUGAGCUCAGAUCUUGUUACAUAUCAGAAAGAUCUCAUAGGAAGGAAACACCACAAAUGUGAUAUAGGUGGCAAGAGCUUCAAAUAUAAUUCAUUUCUGGUUAGACACCGCAUAAUUCAUGAUGGAGGAAAACAUCAUGGAUGUGAUCAAUGUGGGAAAACCUUCAGUCAGACUUCGCAACUCAGUCAGCACCUGAAAAUGCAUAUUAAAGAAGAUCUGUAUGAAUGUAAUGAAUGUGGAAAAGCCUUCAGCCAGAAUUCAAAUUUUAUUCGACAUCAAAGAAGCCAUACUGGACAAAGGCCAUUUGCAUGUAAUGAAUGUGGGAAAGCCUUUAGCCAGAGUUCAGACCUUAUUCAGCAUCAAAGAAUUCACACUGGAGAAAAACCAUAUGCAUGUAAUGAAUGUGGGAAAGCCUUUAGUUCAAUUUCAACCAUUACU